AACGCUCUGGCCUCAAAUCAGGUAGGAUACCCGCUGAACUAAGCUAUAU
rnacentral:rRNA from 1 species